rnacentral:rRNA from 1 species
UACAGAGGUGGCAAGCGUUGUUCGGAUUUAUUGGGCGUAAAGGGUCCGUAGGCGGCCCAGCAAGUCGGAUGUGAAAUCCCACAGCUCAACUGUGGAACUGCAUUCGAAACUGCUAGGCUAGAGUAUGGAAGGGGUGAAGGGAAUUCCCGGUGUAAGGGUGAAAUCUGCAGAGAUCGGGAGGAAUACCUGUCGCGAAGGCGCUUCACUGGUCCACUACUGACGCUCAGGGACGAAAGCUAGGGUAGCAAACGGG